UACGUAGGGUGCGAGCGUUGUCCGGAAUUAUUGGGCGUAAAGGGCUCGUAGGCGGUCUGUCGCGUCUGCUGUGAAAACCCGAGGCUCAACCUCGGGCCUGCAGUGGGUACGGGCAGACUAGAGUGCGGUAGGGGAGAUUGGAAUUCCUGGUGUAGCGGUGGAAUGCGCAGAUAUCAGGAGGAACACCAAUGGCGAAGGCAGAUCUCUGGGCCGUAACUGACGCUGAGGAGCGAAAGCAUGGGGAGCGAACAGG
rnacentral:rRNA from 1 species